AUUAAAGAGUUCUAUAACUCCCAAACCCAUGUGAACAUACCUAACGUUGCCUCGGCAGGUCGCACCUACCUUGUAGCACCCUACCCUGUAGGGCCUACCCGGGAGGUGCGGGUAAGCCUGCCGGCGGCCCACCAAACUCUGUUUGAUAUUGAAUUCUGAACCUAUAACUAAAUAAGUUAAAACUUUCAACAACGGAUCUCUUGGUUCUGGCAUCGAUGAAGAACGCAGCGAAAUGCGAUAAGUAAUGUGAAUUGCAGAAUUCAGUGAAUCAUCGAAUCUUUGAACGCAUAUUGCGCCCAUUAGUAUUCUAGUGGGCAGGACCGUUCGAGCGUCAUUUCAACCCUUAAGCCUUCGUUGCUUAGUGUUGGGAGCCUACGGCAACGUAGCUCCUCAAAGUUAGUGGCGGAGUUGGUUCACACUCUAGACGUAGUAAUUUUUUAUCUCGCCUAUUAGUUGGACUAAUCCCCUGCCGUAAAACCCCCAAUUUAUCAAGGUUGACCUCGAAUCGGUUCAGACAAACUCGCUAAAUUGAAGCAUCUUAGUCAGCGAAGGAAAAGAAACCAACAGGGAUUGCCCUAGUAACGGCGAGUGAAGCGGCAACAGCUCAAAUUUGAAAUCUGGCCCUCGGGUCCGAGUUGUAAU
rnacentral:rRNA from 1 species